rnacentral:rRNA from 1 species
UACGUAGGGUGCAAGCGUUGUUCGGAAUUACUGGGCGUAAAGGGCGCGUAGGCGGCCUGUUAAGUCGGACGUGAAAUCCCUCGGCUCAACCGGGGAACUGCGUCCGAUACUGGCGGGCUUGAAUUCGGGAGAGGGAUGUGGAGUUCCAGGUGUAGCGGUGAAAUGCGUAGAUAUCUGGAGGAACACCGGUGGCGAAGGCGGCAUCCUGGACCGACAUUGACGCUGAGGCGCGAAAGCGUGGGGAGCAAACAGG